rnacentral:rRNA from 1 species
GACGAACGCUGGCGGCGUGCUUAACACAUGCAAGUCGAACGGAAAGGCCCUGCUUUUGUGGGGUGCUCGAGUGGCGAACGGGUGAGUAACACGUGAGUAACCUGCCCUUGACUUUGGGAUAACUUCAGGAAACUGGGGCUAAUACCGGAUAGGAGCUCCUGCUGCAUGGUGGGGGUUGGAAAGUUUCGGCGGUUGGGGAUGGACUCGCGGCUUAUCAGCUUGUUGGUGGGGUAGUGGCUUACCAAGGCUUUGACGGGUAGCCGGCCUGAGAGGGUGACCGGCCACAUUGGGACUGAGAUACGGCCCAGACUCCUACGGGAGGCAGCAGUGGGGAAUAUUGCACAAUGGGCGGAAGCCUGAUGCAGCAACGCCGCGUGCGGGAUGACGGCCUUCGGGUUGUAAACCGCUUUCGCCUGUGACGAAGCGUGAGUGACGGUAAUGGGUAAAGAAGCACCGGCUAACUACGC